GUUAACAUUGUUACAAUGUAUAACUUACUUAUGAAACUAAACACAUUUAGUUGCAAGUUGAAGUUGAGGAGUAUAAAAUAUAAGCUACAAAUGCCAUGACACACAAAUAGAUAAAAAUACCAAAAUACAAGGGGAGAUACAAAAUGCACACAUACAAAUUUUAAAACACAAUUCCUUAUCUUAAAGUGAAAGAGAGAGGAAGGAAGAAAAGGUAGAAAAAGAGAACAUAUCCAAAGAGGGGAGAGCAAAUGCAGGCAAGAGGAAAAGGGGGCUUUCUGCUACACAUCAAGACCAUUAAAAAAAGGAAGGAGAGAGGGUCAUUAACACUUACGGAACGAGGAGUUUGGAAGACAACAAGUAGAUUAUGAUGAGCCAUGAAGUGAAGUGACUCCCCCAGCACUGCCUGGAUACAAAUGCCACUGCCACUCCUAGGCACUUGGCUUAAAGUUUGGGUGGAGGAGGAAUCAAAGGCAGAUGUGACUGCACUGCUCCCCCGCCCCCUGACCCCAGGCCCCAGGCUUUUGCUAGAUGCUCAGGAGCAGAUAGUGAAAACCCAGACUUAUCAUAAGAACAUAAGAACUGCCAUGUCCUGGGUCAGACCCUAGGCCCCCUUGCCCAGUCUCCUGUGUUGCACAGCAGCAGAAAGCAGACGCUGGAAGGGAGAGUGAACAGGACCUGAGGGUUUAUUUUGCCACUGUUCCUGUCUCACUUUCAGCCUCCAGCAUUUGAAGGUCUAUCCCAGACCUUGUCCCCUUGUUUCAUAGUUUCAUAGCUGGUCAGGUUGGAAGGGACCUGAGCAGAUCAUCAAGUCUGACCCCCUGCCAUGGCAGGAAAGAGUACUGGUACGACCCCAGCAAGGUGUUCAUCCAACCUCCUCUUAAAGACCCCCAGGGCAGGAGCCAGCACCACUUCUCUUGGAGGUUGGUUCCAGAUCCUGGCCACCCUGACCAUGAAGUAGCACCUCCUAUGAUUAGAUCCAUGCAAGGCCUCAACCAGGGAUGACACCUUGAGGCCCAUCAGAAGCUGGAGCCAGCACUGUGACACUGUGGGCACUGCACAUGCACACGCUGGGUCUGCAGUCACCAGCACCUGGUUUUAGGUGGAGCUGAGAGUGUCGGUGUUCACCACUCAGCCCUGGGUGUAGCACUGGACACCGUGCACCCCUGUCUGUGCACGUGGGGGUGCUGCGCCCUCACUUUGUGAUGCAAUCUCAUGCUUCUAUCUAAAAGAUUUGCUUCCAGGGAAUGUCGUGACCAAGCUUUCUCAAGGCUGGAGACAUCAUGGAGGGAACCUCUACUACUUCUCAGGGAAGAAAAGUUCCUGGGAGGAGGCCGAGUGCUUUUGCGUGUCCCAGAACUCGCACCUGAGCUCCGUCCUCUCCCAGGAAGAGCGGGAGGAUCUUGCCACACAAGUCAAAGGCGCAGAUCACUGGAUCAGGCUGAGUGACCGUGAGGCAGAAGGCUCCUGGCGCUGGGUGGACGGCUCCAAGUACACGGCGGGGUAACGGCACUGGGACACUCUGGCCUGGGUGGAGCCUCUUGGAAAUUUCUGCUGGCUUCAGAGCAUAAUCUUGGGCUGGAAGAGCCCUCAGGAGGCCUCUAGUUCAUGUCCCUGCUCCAGGCAGGCCUCCCAGUCUGCACCGUCCCACACAAGCGUCUGUCUGACCGACUUCCCCAGACAGAGAUUUCCCCCCUCUCCAGGGACCUGCUUUUGUGCUGAACACCCUCAGAGCUGGAAAGGUCUCCCUAAGCUCCCACCCAGUUCUGCCAGCCUUUCCUCGCAGGUCAGGUUUUCUAGACCUCUGAUCCCUUUGGUUGUUCUGCUGGUGUCCCUCCGUGGCGUCUUUGUGUUUCUUGAAGUGUUCCCCAUCGCAGGCUUCCAGGACCUCUGCGCUGCUCUAGAGACCAGUUUUGCAAAGAUGAAUGGGCUCCAGCGUGACAUGGUCCUAGCUCCUCACUCAGUAAUGGUUGGAGCUGGAGGACAGGGGAAAAGGGGUUGUGCACGUAACCCUUGAGGUGGUGGAGGUGUGGACAAGGAGAAGUGAGGCCCACGACUCCCCUGGCAAUGGGGAAAGGGAAAGGUCCUGGUAGGGGAGGUUUGUGCCCCUGCGGGAUGGGGGAAGGAGGAGAGGAGGAGCACACGGGGUGCGUCUGCAGCAUGGCAGCGCAGCACUCAGCCUUGCUGAUGAGGAAAUGAGCCCUGGCUACCCACUCCCGCCCCUUGGGCAUCCACACCACAAUGCAAAGGGGGCACCUGGGGCUUUCCAAGCCAGGCUCUGGGGUCCAGGUGUGAAGGAGAGUGCUAGGGUGACACCCCACCUGCAUUGUCUCCUGGCUGAUGUGGGUGGACAGAGCUUAUGGUACCGUCAUGCAGAGAAGCCCUAGUGACCGUGGUGAGGAGGAGGCAGCAGAGGAGGCUCUCAAAGCUGCAGGCACAGGGGAGCGGGGGCCGACAUAGGCUGCCCCUGACAUAGCUGGGGAAGAAGGGCACUGGGUGCCACAUCCUAUUCUACCUCUUGGGUGUGCAAGUGGGCUUGGGCACCCAGGCACCGUUUCCUUCCCCCAUUUUAAUCCCUGGAAAACUGUUAAUGUGAAAGUUGGGUGGGUCCUGUUACUCCUCACUGCUUUUUGGUGACUGAAGGAUGACAUGGUCUUACAUACUAGAUGCACUCAGGGGUUUUCAGGACAUGAACAAGGUGGCACAGAAGCACACCUAAAAUGGGAAACACAAGCUGACCCUAGGAGUCUGCAGCGGCCUUUGCCUAUAGAAGAACAGACGCCUGGUCAGGGGCGCCUACACUGGCCAGUAUUUUUUUUAAAGUAUUUUAUCUAACCAAGGGCAUAGAGUAGGUUGUUUAGGCUGGGGGAGAUCGCUUGUUGCCUAGUUACUUAAUUGCUGGCCUUGCUAGAAGGAAAGGACAUAUCAGCGAGGCCCCUGGUGGAGUUGGAAAGGGGGGUUACUUGGUGGGGUUGGAAGAGGGGGCUUGCUGCACAAUUUACCACAUCAGCAAGUUCAACCUGUCAUGUAGCUAUAUAAGGCUGAUGCCCACUUGGGUGGGUGUGCUUGCUUUGCAAACGAUUGCCAAGCUCUGCUUUCUGUGCAGAAAUAAAGAUUAAGUUGGAUCCUC